AUUACCGCGGCUGCUGGCACGAAGUUAGCCGGGGCUUCUUCUCUCGGUACCGUCAUAAUCGUCCCGAUCGAAAGGAGUUUACGUCCCAAGGGACUUCAUCCUCCACGCGGCGUUGCUGCGUCAGGGUUUCCCCCAUUGCGCAAAAUUCCCCACUGCUGCCUCCCGUAGG
rnacentral:rRNA from 1 species